AAAAGGAUCCCCGCCAGUACAUGAAAAUAAGCCUGCCUGCUCUCUGCCUUUCACAUUUUUGUCCGUUGGAUUAUUGUUUGCGCAUCUUUGCAGUUGGGUUAGGGGAGAAAUGCAGGAAAACUAGUGAACUGAGUCAUCUCCUAGCAGGGUGUUGGACACCAGACUCUUCUCAUCUUGCUGCUUUCCUGCCAUUGAUGCUGAUAGAGCAUAGCAUCCUUCUGCAGCCAUUGAUGCUGAUGGGGCGUGGCAUCCUUCUGCAGCCUCUCUUCCCUUCAGUUCUAAGGUGAUAUAAAACACCAACUGCUCCCUCUUUGGUAUGUGCAGCUCUAUCAGGCUCCCACCUUUUAACUUUGUAUUUCAAGUGCAUCAUGUGUAAUUUCUACUUAUUUUUCUGUUCAUUGUCUAAAAUUCUUACUCAAAUUCUAAAAGCAAACCCUUUCAUUUACACCUUAUCAUGAAUAAAAUAAUGAUAAAGAAGAGGUAAAAUUCUAGA
rnacentral:lncRNA from 1 species